rnacentral:rRNA from 1 species
AACGAACGCUGGCGGCAUGCCUAACACAUGCAAGUCGAACGAGACCUUCGGGUCUAGUGGCGCACGGGUGCGUAACGCGUGGGAAUCUGCCCUUGGGUUCGGAAUAACAGUUGGAAACGACUGCUAAUACCGGAUGAUGACGUAAGUCCAAAGAUUUAUCGCCCAAGGAUGAGCCCGCGUAGGAUUAGCUAGUUGGUGAGGUAAAGGCUCACCAAGGCGACGAUCCUUAGCUGGUCUGAGAGGAUGAUCAGCCACACUGGGACUGAGACACGGCCCAGACUCCUACGGGAGGCAGCAGUGGGGAAUAUUGGACAAUGGGCGAAAGCCUGAUCCAGCAAUGCCGCGUGAGUGAUGAAGGCCUUAGGGUUGUAAAGCUCUUUUACCCGGGAUGAUAAUGACAGUACCGGGAGAAUAAGCUCCGGCUAACUCCGUGCCAGCAGCCGCGGU